GGAGUGAGGCCACGACCGGCCGAGGACAGUCUACUGCCUCUAGAAAUGGCGAGAAACAGAUUCUCACCUGAGCUCCUGGAAAGAAGAAGCUCCACCAGCACCUAGAGUGACUCUCGCCUCACCUUACCUCAGGCAUUCUUCAGUGUAAAGAGCUUAAACAUACUUCUCCAAACACAUCCCAGAGGAGCCAGCCACGAGAAAGAGAUUUGUCAUACACCUUACACACCGAGGAACCUGUGAAGGAUGCAGGACAGGUGUGUAAGAAAGAGGAGCCACACCGUAGAACACAGCUGAGGAAGAGGCUGGAAGCAGGAAGUUACUGAGGGCCAAGCAUGAAGUAGCAUUGCCUUAAGUCGGAAAGAAGAUCUGAUGACGCUGAGCCUUACCUCCCUCUCGACACCACUGGAUCUUCUACUUUGGGAAUGAGACGCUGUGUGGGCUUAAGGGCCCAGAGAGGCCAGGACAGCAGCA